GGGGGUGGGGCGUGUGUCGUCGCUGAGUCGGGGGACGCCGCGCGCAUGCGCUUCAGGGCUUCCCGCCGGCGCCUCGCGCCUGCGGGGCCACCAACGGCGGCGAUCGGGUGGUGCGGCGGCUGGGUGGGGCCGCUGCCCUGCCUGUGGGGCCGAGUUCUUCUUAGGCGUGCGGUGGGCCGCGGGAGCGACUGAAGAGACCGGUUACUUGCUUAGGAUGGAGGCGGGCAACAUGAACCGGGCAGCGUGGGGGCCGGAUCCUGCUGGUGCUGCUGCAGGAGUUAUUGCUGGCCUCCUUUUCCCUCGGCAUUCCUCAGGCAGCGAAGAGCAAUCCCUGCUGCGCACAGCGUUCAACCCGGUGUUGAGCCAGCUACUCUGACACGAGAAAUACCUGCCCUUGUUCCAUAAAGCUGCUUCCAUCUGUAGGUGUGGGACCUUGCACUGCAUUUCUUGGUCCCCAAGGCGAAAGGUGAUGCUAAUAGUAGGUGAGCACAGGGCAUGGACCCUGGAUGUCUUAAAUCAUGCCUUGAGAAGUUCUGCUUGGCCACUCACCAUAAUUUUUGGUAGCGGAAGUCGCACUUUAAUUCAUUAUUAGGAGUUUGGUUUCCGGCAGUGGAGGUGCAUCGCAGAGCGAAGGGGCAGCCACCUCCCUGCAGCGGGGUGUGGGUGCCUGUGGGCUGCACGUACAGGUGUGCUGCUUCUGUCCUCAUCCCCCUGAGGCCGUGGUGCACAGCUACUGGGCAGCCAGAGCUUCCCGGGGCUUCUGCACCCGAAGAGAAACUGCUGAGUGUUGCUGGUAGGAAUCCGGCGUUCUUGGCAGUGCACAGUAGCUUGCUUGUGUUGCAGAGAGCCAUUCAGAACUAGAGGCUUGAGAUAAAAUAUCACUUGCUAUUUUUUGCAUGACUGUUUACAACCUGCAAUAUACUGUUUGCUCACUUUCACUGUUGCUCGAUCCCAGAUUUAGUUCUGUACGUUGCAGAUAGAAAGGAUAUUUUUUUUCUACUUAGCAUUUAGCACUCCAACAUACAUUCUGCUGAAUGAAUGCAAAUGAAAGUACUUUGUGCUGAGCAAUUGUAUUAGUUUCACUACUCCUUUUUGUUCAGACUGUGUUGAAAGGAAACUACUCAUACUCUCAUUUUUGUGGUUGCUGGUUGUAGUACAAAACAGCUCUGCACAGUUCGUGUUAGGGCAAGGAUUCAUUUACAUGUGGUUGCUUGGUUCUGCCCUGAAAUCUUGUAAAAGCCUUAAUAUAAUUGGGAAUCAGCUCCAGAGGCUGUGAACCGGUAAGAAUGAUGUUUUUUGUGACUAUUGGAGCUUGGAGCAAAAAAAAGAGAAUGUUGGGGGAAAAAAAGAAUGUUUUUCUACUUCAGAGUGAUAUGGAACUUAGGGACAGCUCGCUGUGUGGAGCCCACUUCAAAUCAAUGGGUUCUUGAUGUUUUCUGUAGCUCAAAACUUUCAGCUCUAUAAAACGAGUUGUGACAGGGCUGAAAUUCCUUUUUCAGGCUGCUUUCUAUCAUUUACAGAAUUGAGGUAUUUUUCCAGAGUAUUCUGAGUGUAGUUUCAUGGUACUUCUUGAGUCAGUGCUUGGUUUUUGUUUUGUUGGUGUUUUUUUUUUUUCCAUUUUGUGUGGAAGUAAAUAAAACUUUUCAUCCAAGAAUAAUUUAGUUACUUAAUCAUUGAUUUCCUUGGAGCACUAAACAGUUGGAAGGGAAGGAAAUGAAAAUGAUUUAGGUAUGACAAGCACCAAUGUUUUUCUCUGAGAACAAUUAGCUGAUGUCUGGACCUGGAAGGGCUGUUGUUACAGUAGGAGGAUUUUACAGUACUUCAGAGCACAGUCUCAUUGCAAGCUAUUUUAAUAUUUAGACUUAUUUUGAGAUUCUGUCCUGUCUUUGGUUCUUUCUGUGCUGUAGUAACAAGCACAAAUGGAAGCUGAAAGUUGCACGCUGGUCUUCUGUAGCUCAGCAGAGCUGCAGUGGAAAGGCAAGACAUCUGAGUACUUCCAAAGCAAUACUAAUUAUUGUGUAUGACAUUAGAGUGGCAAAUAACAUAGCGAGCACAUUGCUAUUACUGCAGUUGGACAGUGUCACACUAAGGGGUCUUCCUAACUUCAUGGCUGCACUGAGGAGCUGUUGGAUGGAUUGCUCUCUGCCCUACAAAGAGCUCCUAGGGAAAUUACAUCAGAAGUUGGCAACAAUUAAUCUGGAUUAUUGAGUCAAGAAUAAUAUUUAUCUGGAAAAUAGUGGAUCAAAUCCUGCAGGUCUAACUGGGCCUACUGUGAAUAAAUUAAAACAGUGUAUUUUUGUAUGAGUCAUAAAUCAUAUUACAGUCAUCACUGUGGUUAACUAAAAGUAUUUUAAUUUAAUCAAAAUACAGUUAAAACUCACUUAAAGAAGUUUGAUAUCAAAUGUACUGCCUUACACACAGAUUAAUUCUUUCAAUGGUGGUGUGAAGAAUUAAACACCAAAAUAGAUCCUGUUAUACGUGACUGUGGAUUUAUGCAUUACAUGUUUCUGAGCAUGAGUUUCCAACACUUUGCUUUUUCUUCUUACAUUAGAAUAAAAGAGAACAAUAUUCCCAUGCUUUUGAGACUUCUGUUACAGCAUUCAUAGCUUUAACAGGCCAUCUGCUUUGGAGUAAUGUAACUGCUGCAGAGCAUUGCUUUCUUGGUAUACGCAUAUCUUGACAGAUGGAGAAUGUGAGCCCUCUGGAUUCAUCAAGAAAUCACUUUUAUGUGUAGCUGCUCUAUACAUUUCUAGCCAUUUGUAAAACAGUGCUAACUCCUAGGUCACAGAGACUACAAAAUCACAGAAUCACUGCUGUUUCAGGGAUAUACAGGUUGUCUUUAUUCCAGAUUUCUUCUCAGAGUGGAGUCAAAAACAAAUUCAGACCUGGUGUGCAGAGCUUUGUCCAGCCAGGUUUUGAAAACCUCCAAGGACAGAAAUCCCACAGUCUCUGUGAUUCCUGCCAGAGUGUUUAUUCUCACACUCAUUUUUUCUUUUCUGUCCAUGCUGAACCACUCUAGUUUAAUCUGAUGUCACUGUGUUGCCCAUAUACAAGACAUCACUGGCAAGAGCCUGUACCCAUCUCCUUGUCCUUGUUCAUGCAUAGGUAUUAGAAUAUUGUUUUGUGCCUCAAAACCUCUGCUCCAGACAGCAGUUGUCAUGGACACUACAAGGAGUAUUUCACCUCCCUAACUCAGCUCAGACACUGUCAUGCUUUAAGGUUCUAUAUACAGACUCAAGAGCUGCUACACAGCUCUGCUGUGGAUGGCCUUCCACCACACCUCUUCCAGGAGCAUCCGGGUCUAUUCUAGCCCUGGUUGCCCUGGCUGUGCCAGGAACUGGAGCAGUCUUUGUGGAUGAUCCUUUGGAAGCAGAUGAGGAGAAUUGCAUCUUGUUCAUGUUGGACUUCCUUGGCCCAGAUGAGGAGGUGCUGAGCCAGCUUCUGGACUUGCCCCUGCCAGCACAUACAGGAGCUUGUUGUUCUUGAGUGGUGCAGUGAGGAGGCCCGCUGCCUGAGUGGUUUGAGGGGCAUUUCUGGUGAUGGGAUCAAGAGAGCAGCUCUGCUACCUGCCCAGCAGGCUCAGGGACUCCUGCCCCCCAAGUAGACUGCUUCAGGAGAUGUUCUCUGUCAAAUGCAGGAUCUCCAUCAGAGCACCUCAGCUACUUUUCAUGUGGGUCCCAGCCAUCUCUUCUGCAUCUCUGUUCACAUCCUGAGGGAGCAAGAAGAGACUCAGGAGGCAUUAGAAAGUCCCUCUGCUUCCAGCCAGGGCUGUGGGCAUUCCUCAGUGAGUCUCCAUCACCAGCAGAGGAGAAUUUUCACCUGUCCAGCCUUACUGCCACCCAGCAAGAGGCCACACCACCAUCAAUAGCAAGAGGGUACCUGAAUACCUUGCAAGUGGCCUCACAGUGUCAUCAGUCAGCUCACUCAGCACCAUCAGAUACAUCCCACAGAUCCAGGACAGCAUCACCCCAGGUUGGUGUAUCAGCAUCUGUGUUAUCCCUGCUCCCUCCAGAAAUGUCUGUGUCAUUUGUGGCUGAUGCCGGGGAGAUUGAAGAUCACCAGAGAAACCAAUGGCAGUGACUGAAGAACCCCAGCAACACUGUCAUACAACGGAAGUGCUCCAGCUCAGGCUUAGCAGUUGAGGGUAUAAGAAGACAGUGCCAAGAGAGCAUUCCCCAGGGAUCAGAUGUACUCUCUGAAAAUAAAGUAAGGUGGUGUAUUCUGGUGUUAGGUUCAUCGGUUGGGUUUCAUUGUUUUGUACAUACAAUAAAGUUAUGUUGGGUCAGAAACUGAA